AAAAAAGAAGCUAAGUCUUUUCUUCUUCAUGAACGACUGAACAAACACUCGAACCCUCACAUAUCUAAACGUUUCAGCACCUUCUAGUACGCACACGAAGAGGCAGCCAUUUCCCCAAGCUCCCAUCUCCCAUAUCUCAAUCGUGCUGAAGAAGAAAGCUUCUGCCGUUUCUUCAUCUCAGCACCCCUGCAUCAUCUUCAGCAUAAUACACAGAGCCUCCAACAAAAUCAGUAGCAGCGGCUCGCCGGAAUCCAAACGACCAUCUUCACCAUAGAGACCAAACCACCAACAGAUCCUUUUCUUUGAGUAGUAGCAGCUCAAACUCAGAUGAUUUUACUCGUCUUCCUCCAUAGUCUUUCCUCCAUUUUUGUCAUGUAAAAACUUCAGCAAAAACCAGCAGAAACAACCCUGAAAAUUAGCUUCAGACCCACCUACAACCCCCAUGAAACCAUUCUUGAGAUUUCCAUCUGAGACGAGUUCCAUUCGAGGUUGCCAAGCUCGGCGCGAUUCUGGUCGGAAGAUUUUGCUCAUGUUCUAGUCUUGGACAUCGUCUUCUUCAUUGUAAUUCCAGUUGACGUUUUAAUCUAUUGCAGUUGCUAUUCGUUAGAGGUCAAACUUUAAAGUUCAUUCUUCUUUCGAUUUUUAGAAUUUGUGUCAUGAACACUUGAGUUAUUUGUUUGAUUUCUCUUAUAAGUUUAUUUUUAAUAGUCACGCC
rnacentral:lncRNA from 1 species